rnacentral:rRNA from 1 species
AUACGGAGGAUGCGAGCGUUAUCCGGAUUUAUUGGGUUUAAAGGGUGCGUAGGUGGGAAGAUCAGUCAGCGGUGAAAGCUUGUGGCUUAACCAUAACACUGCCGUUGAAACUGUCUUUCUUGAGUAUGAUUGAUGUAUGCGGAAUGCGUGUUGUAGCGGUGAAAUGCAUAGAUAUCACGCAGAACUCCGAUUGCGAAGGCAGCAUACAAACUCAUGACUGACACUGAAGCACGAAAGCGUGGGGAUCAAACAGGAUUAGAUACCCUGGUAGUCCACGCCGUAAACGAUGAUUACUAGGAGUUUGCGAUAAACAGUAAGCUCUACAGCGAAAGCGUUAAGUAAUCCACCUGGGGAGUACGCCGGCAACGGUGAA